CUGGGGCACUCUGUUGCACUGGCGGGCGCAGGUUGCCUAGGGGCUGGGCUGGGCCGGGCCAGGCGCGAUGGCAGGGUUCUCUCCUUGGCGGCGGCGGCAGCGGCGGAGGCGGCGGCGGCGGCGGGCGAGGCAGCCCUUCGCGGGCAGCACCAGAACUGGUCGGUGAUUUAGGUAGUUUCCUGUUGUUGGGAUCCACCUUUCUCUCGACAGCACGACACUGCCUUCAUUACUUCAGUUGAAAUCGUCUCCAGAUAACCCAGCAGCCAACUGGCUUCAUGCGCGCUCCACUCGGAAAAAGCGGUGCCCCUAUACAAAACACCAGACCCUGGAACUGGAGAAAGAGUUUCUGUUCAACAUGUACCUCACCAGGGACCGCAGGUACGAGGUGGCUCGACU
rnacentral:miRNA from 1 species